GUGCUCACUUUGGCCGCCCAUAUACUAAAAUUGGAACGAUACAGAGAAGAUUAGCAUGGCCCCUGCACAAGGAUGACACACAAAUUCAUGAAGCGUCCCAUAUUAAA
ensembl:snRNA U6 U6 spliceosomal RNA